GUGGGGCUGCACCACAGACGUGCGAACAGGUCAAAUCUUCAUAAAUAAAAAUCCAGUGAAAAUGACAACCCGAAUUCAUCCUUGUACACAGAGCACGCCAGGGCAGGUAAGUGGGUGGCGGUGGCCAGAAGUCACCAUCCUCACUGGUCG